GCGCCGAUGUUGGAAUUGGCAGACAAGCAGGAUUUAGGUUCCUGUGUCGUAAGACGUGUGGGUUCAAGUCCCACUCGGCGCA
rnacentral:tRNA from 1 species